AAAACAAAAAAAAUUAUUAGUGAAAUGUUUUUGGAGAAUACAAAAUUUUAAGUGAACACUUUACUACACAUUUAUUGGCUUUGCUUGUUUUUCAUGGCAUGUUAUAAACAUCGUCCUUUUUGGCUUCAUUUUACGUUAAAAAAUAAUGCAAAUGUGUUUAACAAGUCCCAAAACAAAUAGAUACACGAAAGUACACAAAGUACACAGAAGACACAUAAGGAAAUCCAGCCAAAGGUUAUAUUGUGAACCCAAAUACAAAGCAGACACUUAAGGAAAUCCAGCCAAAAUACAUAUUGUACCCAAAUACAAAGAAGACACAUAAGGAAAUUCAGCCAAAGGUUAUAUUGUGUACCCAAAUACAAAAACUACAAAGGAUUAAACGAAAAUAAUAAUAUAUAUAUAUAUAUAUGGUAUAUAUACGAUGCAAAACACUUGAAGUUUAGUCACAAAAGCAGCUUUACGAAAAACAAAAACUAGACCCACGCACACACACUGUGUUUAUCCAGCACAUGCGCAUUUAAAUUGUUCAGCCAAAGGACGAACCAAACACCAUGUGAGACCGCAGCGGUCCUGAUGAAUGCAGUUACCAUUGGGGCUCUGUGUGGACACAUGGAUCGAAAUCAAAAUACGGAUUUGCUCUAACAGAAGAAUCAGGCUUGUACUACUUGAAGGUUAUACGUAUAUGAUUAUAAAAUACCUUAUAAAAUACAGUUGAAAAUUUUGCAUUUAGGCACAAAUGCUACGGAAAGAUGAGGGCUCCUGGUUGCUUUAAAAAAAAAAAAAAGACCAAGUUUCUUUAUUCCGUUCCGAUUGAUUCUUAUUGUUUCGAAACGCCGUAAUAUGAAGGGGACCACGCUGUGUGAUCCGAACUCCGGAGACCCACACUCACGGACUCACGGAAUCUCGCGUUGAGGCCUUCAUUUUGAGAGCAUAUGUAUACGGUUGACAAAAACACUUAACCACCAAACAAACAAAUAUAAUAAAUGUAACGAAAUCAUCUCCCAAUAA